AUGGAACCCUAUGUUGGCAUGAGAUUUGACAGCCUUCAAAUUGCUAAGGAUCACUACAACAGCUACGCACUACAGAUGGGUUUCUCUAUCAAGAUGAACACCUCUAGAUGGACACCCCGCACCAAUGAAUUGAUAAAACAACAGUUUUGCUGCAACAAGUUCAAGAAGCCCAAAGCUGAUGAUGGAGGAGCUGAGGCUCCUCCUGUCCUGGACCCUAUUCCAGAUCCAAAAUCUGUUGACAGUGAUGAGGAGAUGGAAGAAGAACCUCCAAUAUUUGCUGAAGAGGAGGAUGAUACUAGUAAGAAGAAGAAGAAGCGCAAACGCGAGACAAUAAAGCAGACUCAAUGCAAGGCGAAAAUGUUGGUGAAGCUGAUAGAUGGGCGAUGGGAAGUGACGCACUUUGUUCGUGACCACAAUCAUCCGCUCGUGAACAAACCUUCAUUCUCCAAAUACUUGAGAUCCCACCAAGGCAUCUCACCUGAUGAAAAGGAGUUUCUUUGCAUCUCGUAUAACUGCAACUUGACUACAGGACGUAUGAUGCAUGUAAUGGCAGAGUUCUAUGGAUCUGAGAUGAUGGUGCCGUUUGGACCAAAGGCAAUAACAAAUCUGUGUACAAGUUUCCGUAGAGAUGACACAAAGGAGGGUGAUCUGAUUGAGACAAUUGCGCACUUCAAGGAUAUACAAAAAACCGAUCCAGACUUCUUCUAUAAGGUGAAAUAUGAUGAAGAGGACAGAGUUGUCAACAUAUUUUGGGUGGAUGGCUUAGCUCGAAAAGCUUAUGCAGAGGCGUACCACGAUUGCAUAUCCUUUGACACCACCUACAUGACCAACAUGUACAAUAUGCCGUUCGCGCCCUUCAUAGGAAUAAAUCGACAUGGCCAAUCUUUCAUGCUGGGUUGCGCGUUUGUGAGGCAGGAGUUGGCAUCGAGCUUUGAUUGGGUCUUUGGAGCAUUCCUAGAGGCUAUGGAUGGCAAACCUCCUGACAACUUCAUCACCGAUCAGGAUGGUGUAAUGAGGCAAUCAAUACAGAGCAUCUUUCCAACCACCGUGCACCGCUGUUGUCGAUGGCACAUCAUGAAAAAGGCUCAGGAAAAACUUGGUUGGCUGCUGUGCCGGAAUCCAGGACUCUCUGAUGAUUUCAACAAGUGUGUUGACUUCAGCUUCACUAUAGACGAGUUUGAGCAGAAUUGA
rnacentral:rRNA from 1 species